CUNCUCUGAUUCNGCGGCGGACGGGUGAGUAAUGCCUAGGAAUCUGCCUGGUAGUGGGGGACAACGUUUCGAAAGGAACGCUAAUACCGCAUACGUCCUACGGGAGAAAGCAGGGGACCUUCGGGCCUUGCGCUAUCAGAUGAGCCUAGGUCGGAUUAGCUAGUUGGUGAGGUAAUGGCUCACCAAGGCGACGAUCCGUAACUGGUCUGAGAGGAUGAUCAGUCACACUGGAACUGAGACACGGUCCAGACUCCUACGGGAGGCAGCAGUGGGGAAUAUUGGACAAUGGGCGAAAGCCUGAUCCAGCCAUGCCGCGUGUGUGAAGAAGGUCUUCGGAUUGUAAAGCACUUUAAGUUGGGAGGAAGGGCAUUAACCUAAUACGUUAGUGUUUUGACGUUACCGACAGAAUAAGCACCGGCUAACUCUGUGCCAGCAGCCGCGGUAAUACAGAGGGUGCAAGCGUUAAUCGGAAUUACUGGGCGUAAAGCGCGCGUAGGUGGUUCGUUAAGUUGGAUGUGAAAGCCCCGGGCUCAACCUGGGAACUGCAUUCAAAACUGACGAGCUAGAGUAUGGUAGAGGGUGGUGGAAUUUCCUGUGUAGCGGUGAAAUGCGUAGAUAUAGGAAGGAACACCAGUGGCGAAGGCGACCACCUGGACUGAUACUGACACUGNNUGCGAAAGCGUGGGGAGCAAACAGGAUUAGAUACCCUGGUAGUCCACGCCGUAAACGAUGUCAACUA
rnacentral:rRNA from 1 species